rnacentral:lncRNA from 1 species
UUAAAUUGAUUUUAGAAAACCAGCUUUGAAUUAGUUGAUAAAUUUGGGUUUGUGAUGACAUUGAAAUUGAAUGUGCUUUUAUUUUUAUUGUUUAGAUGGAUAGAUUCAUACCAAACCGUUCAGCAAUGGACUUUGAUUAUGCGCAUUACAUGCUGACCGAUGGAAGGAAGAUUAAAGAGAACCAAACAGUAUGCUCACCUGCCAGGGAGGCCUACAGGAAGCAGCUGGCUGAGACCUUGAACAUGAACCGCACCCGAAUCUUGGCUUUCAAGAACAAGCCACCGGCACCCGUUGAACUCUUCCCUUCCGAGCACUCAACUGCUUCCGCACAUCCGACCAAAUCCGCAAAGCCUAGGAGACACAUUCCGCAGGUAAAUAGAGCUUGUUAUGCAUAAUUUGAUUAGUUCAGAAAAUUUUGGUUCAACAGACUGAUCAUAAUUAUUAUUUUGAUUCUUCAGAGCUCUGAGAGAACAUUGGAUGCUCCUGAUCUCGUUGACGAUUUUUACCUGAAUUUAUUGGAUUGGGGCAGCAGCAAUGUACUAGCAAUAGCACUCGGAAACACUGUGUAUCUGUGGGAUGCUUCAGAUAGUUCUACUUCAGAACUUGUCACGGUUGAUGACGAAAAUGGACCCGUAACAAGUGUGGGUUGGGCUCCCGAUGGUCGGCAUAUAGCCAUCGGCUUGAACAAUUCCGAAGUACAACUAUGGGAUUCAGCUUCCAACCGACAGGUUCGAUGUUAUAGACUUAUUUGCAGCUAUUCAUUUUUCAACGUUUAGCCUGACACUAACCUUCCCCGUGGUUGCUGCAGCUACGUACUCUAAGAGGAUGUCACAGGUCAAGAGUGGGUUCAAUGGCAUGGAACAAUCACAUUCUCACAACUGGAGGAAUGGAUGGUCAGAUUGUUAACAACGAUGUGAGAAUUAGGUCCCAUGUUGUUGAAACCUAUAGAGGGCAUCAGCAAGAGGUUUGUGGGCUGAAAUGGUCGGCUUCCGGGCAACAACUAGCCAGUGGAGGCAAUGAUAAUGUUGUUCACAUAUGGGAUAGGUCCAUGGCAUCUUCAAAUUCACCAACUCAAUGGCUACACAGGUUGGAGGAGCAUACCUCAGCUGUCAAAGCCCUUGCCUGGUGCCCUUUCCAGAGCAAUCUGCUGGCCACAGGAGGAGGUGGCGGAGAUCGAACCAUCAAGUUUUGGAACACACACACUGGUGCAUGCUUGAAUUCAGUUGACACCGGCUCUCAGGUUUGCUCAUUGCUGUGGAGCAAGAAUGAGAGGGAGCUAUUGAGUUCUCAUGGAUUUACUCAGAACCAAUUAACUCUUUGGAAAUAUCCAUCGAUGGUGAAGAUGGCAGAGCUAACCGGCCACACGUCUAGAGCACUUUACAUGGCUCAAAGCCCUGAUGGGUGCACCGUGGCGUCAGCUGCAGGGGAUGAGACACUAAGGUUCUGGAAUGUUUUUGGGGUUCCAGAAGUGGCUAAAACUGCUCCCAAAGUGAACCGUGAGCCAUUCUCUCAAUUGAACCGUAUCCGGUGAUAACAUGGUGGUGGCCUGGUGGGUUCUUUGUUUUGUGUGCAGAGUUAUCUUUGUUUUGUGUGCAGAGUUAGGGAUUGUGGGAUAAAAUUGUUCAUUCCCAUGUUUAUAUGUACAUUAUAUUUUCAACUUCUUAGUGAAAUUGUUUCCUACUCUUGAAUUUAUUCUGCUAACAAAAUGAAUUGGUUUAAUACCAAGAAAAUAUUACAAGUUGAGAUUAAAUAUGUUAAAAAUAACAUCCUUACCAAUUUAGUUACUAAAUCUUAUUUCAAAAAUAACAUUUUCAGCAGCCUUCAAUAAUCUCAAUAGGAAAGCGAUUGACAUUUGCCGGAUGAACAUAUUAUACGCAUAAAUUUCACACCAUUCGAUGGCCCGUACCGCAAAUUUUGUGGCUAUCUCUGUGUAGUCCCACGAAAGCAUGUUACCGUAAAUUUCUACAUGGUUUUGAAUGGUUGGAAUAGAUGAUGUAUCAUGGACGAAUUCUUGGACCGCCAUUUAGACAACUUAUUUUUGAAGAUCACAAUCUCCAACAAACCGUUUACCUUUGAAUUAUCUAACAUUAUUUCUUCUUCAUAAAUGUUGUCUAGGAUUUUUUCAUUUGCAGGUUUCAAGAUACCUCGUACGUUGGCGUGUAGAUUCAAUCCCAUUGAUGGCUCUAACUCUAGCAUCUUUUUAAUGGAAAUAUUUGGCCCAGGCGGAGUUUGUAAUUAUAUAGUAACAUAGACAUAUUGAAUGUAAGGAGUUGAUGGGCAUAUUUUCAAAAGUUAUGCCCUCAAUCUGCAUGAAAGAUGGUGCUUGAUAUAUAGGAAUUUCGGAGCUUUGUCCACUUUAACACCAACUUCGACUAUGGCUUCAAAUCCUUCCAUUUCUUUGAAGUCAUCACCAAAAUGUUGGGGGUUCGAAAAAGUGAGAUUCAACUUAAUUUAACAUUAUUUUUCGAAAGUGUUAUUGGGUCAAAAAGUAUUUUUAAGCAAAAACUAAAAAAAUUUAUUUUUGUUUUUGGUUAAAAAAGUGUCUUUGCGAAACUUCUUUUUGCCCCAAAAGCAUUUCUAAAAAGUUCAAAAGUAUUUUGUUUAGCAAUAUUAUUAUUUUAAAAGUAUUUUCUGUCCUAAAAAUGAUUCUUAGAAGUAAUGCUAAACUGACUAUUUUUAUUAGACCAUUGAAUAUAUCCCACCAGAGAUCGAAGGCUUAUCCCAAUUUCAAUUACAAUAUUACAUCAUUCUAACCUUUGAAUGUCUACUACCAUGGGUGUAGUAGGCUAUAAGAUUGGUUCAGUUCAAUUAAAUGCAUCAUCUCCUACAUCUUAGUCAUCACCAACUCUUGAAUAGAAAAAUAUUAAAAUUUGGGAAUCUCCAAUUGAUAUUAUAAAUUUGGAAGCCUUAUUGUAAGCAGACAAUCGUAAAUUUCGUAUCCAUAGUCAACAUCUUCAACCUCCGCACAAUAUAUAAGAAAUUGUUAAUUUUAGUGUCCAAAUACCAUGACCUUGAUAACAUCAUAAUUUAAUGUGAUUUCAACAAACUGAACACCUCCUCUCGUAAAUCUCUAUCACUUAUAUUUUAGACUAGUUAUCUUAUUUGUAUUUCUAAUAAUGAUUUUCCUAUGAAUUCUCAUUUUUAGCUUUGGCACCCAAAGAUGUCCAGGUUAGUCUAUCAAGUCAAAUUCAUAUUUAGUCUAUCAAGUCAAAUUCAUAUCACAAGUACAAAAUUUUUAUAAGAUUUUUUGAAAAAAAAACAAUAUCGACAUUAAUUGGUAUCGAAACUAACAUAGUAUCAACUCAUUAUAUUCUAAGGAUGUCGAGGGUCUAAAUUCCAGGGAAAAAACAUAAUAUUUUAAAAAAUAACAAAAUAUAAAAAAAACUAUAUUUGAGAAAAAAACUACCUGUUUAAAAGAAAAAAAAUAGCCGUUGCCCCUCUCCAAAAUAAACCCUAAAUAUUUCUUGAAAUAGCCGUUGCGCCUUCCAUAAGAAAACCUAGAUUAGAAAAGUACUCGAAAUACAAAGACCUCUGCUUAUUUUCGGCGUUCACUAUAUAAACUCCAUCGAUUUCUCCAUUAAUCUUUAAUUAAUUCUCGCCCCAACGUCUCCAUCUCCUCUCGCAUCGCAUCGCAUUGCAUCUCUCUAAUCUUUUUUUUCUCUGUCUAUAACAUUUUCCAUUUGAUUUUGUUUUUGUUUUUGUUUAUUGUUAUUUCUUUUAAAUUUUGAGAUUGAAUUUUGCAGGUUCUGGGUUAUUAUUAUAUAUAUAUUGGAUUUUGCUUAACUAUUUUGCAGGAUCUUAAAUAGUUUUAUUGCUUUCUGUUUCUUUCUCUUUUAUUUUAUAUAUAUAUAUAUUUGGAUACUCUAAUAUUAUGGAUGCAGGAUCUUUGAAAUCUUUUUCAAACUUGAAGGGUCAAUCUAGAUGCCCACUUCAGGAACAGCUUCUCUCCAGAAAGAAUUCUAAAGAAAAUGUAAAUAUUUCUACUUAUUUUAUUAAAUUUUAAUGAUUGCAAAUCUGGAGUUUCUUUGUUUUUGAUUCAUCACAAAAGAACAGCUUUGAAUUAAUUGAUAAAUUAGAGUUUGUAAUGACAUUGAAAUUGAAUGUGCUUUUACUGUUAUUGUUUAGAUGGAUAGAUUCAUACCAAACCGUUCAGCAAUGGACUUUGAUUAUGCACAUUACAUGCUGACCGAUGGAAGGAAGAUAAAAGAGAACCAAACAGUCUGUUCACCUGCCAGGGAGGCCUACAGGAAGCAGCUGGCUGAGACUUUGAACAUGAACCGUACCCGAAUCUUGGCUUUCAAGAACAAGCCACCGGCACCUGUCGAACUCUUCCCUUCCGAGC